UGACUGCCCAUAGACAACAGUUGUGGUC
rnacentral:piRNA from 1 species